GCCAGACCCCGGCCGGGACGAAGGCCCGGGGUGGUCGUGCGGGGCCGGCGGCGCGGCAGGGACGCUCCCGCGCAGCCCGGCCCGGGUGGGAGCGGCUCGUGCCCCGGCCCCGGCGGGCGCUUUCUCGUCAUUCUCCGCCGGGCUAAGGAGGGAGAGUAACAGUCCGAGCCGCCUGCCCGUGCGGGCUGCGGAGAAGCUCGGGCUUUCCGACUGGUACUGGCCACACAACAGGAGGUGAGCUGCGGGCCAGCGAAGCUUCAUCUGUGUUUACAGCUGCUCCCCAAGCAAGAGGGAGCAGUGAGCUAAAGCAUGCGGCAUGGCAGGGCCCUGCAGACCGUGUGCAGUUUUGGGACUGUGUCCUCCUUAGGAUGGGACGCUGCUGAAGGUGUGUGACAGAAGAGACCUGCAUUUGAGAAAGCUCACUCUGGCUCAUGCCUGGACAGUGGGGCUCAGGGCCCGGAGUGGACAUCAGGGACCCGUUAGGGAUGUUCAGACCAGGGGAGGGUUGCAGUGCCUUCAGCUAGAGCAGCGUGGAGAGGGCGGAAGUGAACAGCCACGAUAUUCCAGAAGUGGACGGAUGGCACGGGGCUGUGAUUGGGUGUGGAGGGUGUGGCAGAGGCGGUGUCCAGGCGCUGGGGACGGGGUAGGGGAAGGCCUGGCGUUCAGAGAAAGAUGCCCAGCAGGUGGUUUGUGAUGCUGUGAGAUGUCCAGGUGCAGAAAUUUGAGAGACAUCUGGGCAGAGCCCUGCAAGUGACGGAACCCCUGCAGGAAGCCUGAGGGGACAGAAGAGGUGCCAGGCCAGGCCCAGUGAAGCCUGCAGAGGGGUGGAGCUGCAGCACAGAGGGGCUGGGUCCCGUUGCCUGAGGUGACCAUGAGCACAGUUCACAGAGUCUCCUCACCUGUGUAGCUCUCCUUCCCACCGCUGUGAAGUCCCAGAUGGCAUUUGUUCUCCCUUGGGUGCUUGCAGACCAGCACUCCAGUGCUGAAGAAAACAUCCAGAAGCUUUUGCUGGGUGUGGAUUAACUAAGCCCGGUUUUCCUUGACCGCAGCCCCUCUCCUGGGCGCGGAGCUGUGCGGACCGCUGACCAUGAGGACCAGCGGGUCACACCCCUUCCCCAAGGAUCUGCUCUUGUAGCAAACUCUGCUCUUAGAUUUUGCUGGUAAGCAUUAUUCCAAAGAAAGGCACAAAGGGGAUUUUUUUUAAUGCUCAUCUGUUGGCUCAUCUGUUUUCUGGAAGAGAAAUUUUUACACCUCAAACUCCAUGAGGAGAGAGAAUGCCUUCCUCAGAUCCCAUCUCUGAAGAGAGCAGAGGGAGGCUCUGCCGGCCGUUUGCUUUAUCUUCCUGCUGCAGCCAGCGUGGCUGCCGUGGAACCUGCCGUGGUCACAGUGGUCACAGCCACGCCGUGCGGUGCAGUGCCGGACACUGCUGAGGCCUUCAGAAAGCGCAUUUGCUAAUCCAGGAAAACAGAUGUACUUUCAUGAAUGGAUGCUUUGCAUUAUUGUGCCAACUGUAAACAGGUUUUGGAUGUUGUUUGCAUAAAAGGAAAAGUAAAUUCAGCGUUUUUGAUAACUUAUUUCCCUGAUCCAUUUGUUAUGUCCCUGUUGUAAUUAGUUGAUGGAAAUUCAACUGCAGUGUUGCACAGAGGAAUAAAACAUGUUCCUAUGGUAACCGUGGUAAUGGCUAGGAUAUAAUCUAUAAAGAGCGUGUAUCAGAGCAGCUGUAUUACGACCUAAUUAAAACCAAUCUGGCCUUUAAGGAA